CUUGAGAGUUUGAUCCUGGCUCAGGACGAACGCUGGCGGCAUGCCUAAUACAUGCAAGUCGAACGAGAAAGUUCCUUCGGGGACGAUUAAAGUGGCGCACGGGUGAGUAACGCGUAGACAAUCUGCCCUUCAGUCUGGGACAACUUUUCGAAAGGAGAGCUAAUACCGGAUGACAAUAUAACACAUAAGUGUCAUAUUUGAAAGCUCCGGCGCUGAAGGAGGGGUCUGCGUCCCAUUAGCUAGUUGGUAAGGUAAAGGCUUACCAAGGCAACGAUGGGCAGCGGGUUUGAGAGGACGAUCCGCCACACUGGAACUGAGACACGGUCCAGACUCCUACGGGAGGCAGCAGUGGGGAAUAUUGCACAAUGGAGGAAACUCUGAUGCAGCAACGCCGCGUGGAGGAUGACACAUUUCGGUGCGUAAACUCCUUUUA
rnacentral:rRNA from 1 species